rnacentral:rRNA from 1 species
CCACCCCUUCCCAUCCCGAACAGGACCGUGAAACAACUUUGCGCCGAUGAUAGUGCUGCAACCAGUGUGAAAGUAGGUUAUCGUCAGGCU